AGCUCCAAUAGCGUAUAUUAAAGUUGUUGCGGUAAAAAGCUCGUAGUUGGAUUUCUGCUAGAGAUGACCGGUCCACACAAUGUGUGCGCAUCUGGUUCAGCUUUGGCAUCCUCUCGACAGACGUUUCUGCGCUUGAUUGCGUGGAGCGGAUUUCGGGACUUUUACUUUGAGGAAAUUAGAGUGUUCACGGCAGGCUAUCGCCAGAAUACAUUAGCAUGGAAUAAUACUAUAGGAUCUCGGUUCUAUUUUGUUGGUUUCUAGGAUUGAGAUAAUGAUUAAUAGGGACAAUUGGGGGCAUUCGUAUCAACACGUCAGAGGUGGAAUUCUUGGAUUGUGUUGCGACGAACUA
rnacentral:rRNA from 1 species